GGCAGCAGCCGCGGUAACACCGGCGGCCCGAGUGGUGAUCGUGAUUAUUGGGUCUAAAGGGUCCGUAGCCGGUUUGGUCAGUCCUCCGGGAAAUCUGAUAGCUCAACUAUUAGGCUUUCGGGGGAUACUGCCAGACUUGGAACCGGGAGAGGUAAGAGGUACUACAGGGGUAGGAGUGAAAUCUUGUAAUCCCUGUGGGACCACCUGUGGCGAAGGCGUCUUACCAGAACGGGUUCGACGGUGAGGGACGAAAGCUGGGGGCACGAACCGGAUUAGAUACCCGGGUAGUCCCAGCCGUAAACGAUGCUCGCUAGGUGUCAGGCAUGGCGCGACCGUGUCUGGUGCCGCAGGGAAGCCGUGAAGCGAGCCACCUGGGAAGUACGGCCGCAAGGCUGAAACUUAAAGGAAUUGGCGGGGGAGUACAACAACGGGUGGAAGCCUGCGGUUUAAUUGGACUCAACGCCGGACAACUCACCGGGGGCGACAGCAAUAUGUAGGCCAAGCUGAAGACUUUGCCUGAAUCGCUGAGAAGAGGUGCAUGG
rnacentral:rRNA from 1 species